ensembl:lncRNA
CACUGUCAUAAAACAGCUUGCAAAGAGCAACGGAUGCUUUUGCUGCUUGCUCUCAGCGUGUCUGCUAAAGACAUCCGUAAGAAUGUGUGUUACACCGGUGAACUGCACAAGGAUUACUUUCAUGAGUAUGUUCCUAGACUUGUUCUAGAUCCGUUUAAACUCAGAAACUGCACACGAGAUCUGCAACGUCCACCCCUGGCACUGUGCAAGAGAUGGACUGAACACAAAUAUCAAUUUGCAUACAAAUGGCUGUUCUACCGCAAUCAGGUAACUUUACCACAAUAUUACCAACUCAGAAAGGUACACUUCACAUAUCCUCAGGUGUCAUAACAAAUCCAUGAGACCCAUUAUAACUUAUUAGUUACAGUAUAUUAUAUAGCAUUUUUGUGUGGGUCUUAGACUUUUCUCACUAACAUAGGAUCUUUGAUAAUAUGUAUGUAUCAGAUAGGGUCGGCUGCAAUGUAUUUUUCAAAUACACUUUUUUGUCACAGGAUGACCACAGAAUGUCUUGUCAGAACAUUUCGCCAUUCUGACAGUUCAAAGCUUUACUUUUGAUGCCAUUAGCUAGCUACAGUUCAUCAUAAGUGCCUGCUCUAACUUCUUCAAUAGUACUCCAAGGAACCUACCUCAUCCAUCACAAUCCAUGCCAGCCCUAGAGAUGAUUUGUACUGGACACAUUCAGCGGACAUUGAACUGGUAUGAAUACCUCGGCUCAGUUAACUCUCACUUUAGUUUUUACAGUUGUUUUAUACGGUUGGCUUAUAUGCAAUGGAUUUCAUUGGGUAUGUCCAACUGUGCAAAUGUGUGAGAACAGCAGCAACUGUCCUCAAUGCAACUCCUAUGAUAGCACUACAACCAGCAUCUAGUUAAGUGGAUGACAUAUUCACUUAAAGACUUAUAAACUACAGGAACAUGAAGAUGUCUACUUGAAAACGGCAACUGUUCUCUAAUGAAGCUUGUACUCUGAUUCAAUGUCUGUUUUAAGUAUUUAAACCUUUUUUUUUAUUUAUUUUCACUGCUUUUUCUAAGCUAUGCAUGACAUUAUAUUAUUGGCUUUUUGUCACCCAUAUGCGGGUUGUGGUUAGGCCUUGAUAAAAGCAAACUACCAUUUUAUACAAAUAAUUUGUUUUAUUUUUGUUAUUUUGUACUUUUGGACAUAAAACAUUUUAGAUACUUUUUUUGUUGCAAUUUUAAAUAAUUAUGUAUUGCAGUCAUUUAUUAAGCAUAUUGUUGAAUAAAAUUAAAAACAACAAACCCUA